rnacentral:tRNA from 1 species
GCCCAGGUGGUGAAAUUUGGUAGACACGCUAGCUUCAGGUGCUAGUGACCGCAAGGUCGUGGAGGUUCAAGUCCUCUCCUGGGCACCA